rnacentral:rRNA from 1 species
AGAGUUUGAUCAUGGCUCAGGACGAACGCUGGCGGCGUGCUUCACACAUGCAAGUCGAACGGGGCCCAUCCGGUGGCAACACCGGUGAAGGCUUAGUGGCGAACGGGUGAGUAACACGUGAGAAACCUGCCCCGAAGACCGGGAUAACAGCGGGAAACCGCUGCUAAUACCGGAUACCCCCAGCUGGCCACAUGGCUGGCUGAGGAAAUGGGUUCCGCUUCGGGAGGGUCUCGCGGCCUAUCAGCUUGUUGGCGGGGUAACGGCCCACCAAGGCGACGACGGGUAGCUGGUCUGAGAGGACGACCAGCCACACUGGGACUGAGACACGGCCCAGACUCCUACGGGAGGCAGCAGUGGGGAAUCUUGCGCAAUGGGCGAAAGCCUGACGCAGCAACGCCGCGUGAGGGAUGAAGGCCUUCGGGUUGUAAACCUCUUUCAAGCAGGGACGAUAAUGACGGUACCUGCAGAAGAAGCUCCGGCCAACUACGUGCCAGCAGCCGCGGUGAUACGUAGGGAGCGAGCGUUGUCCGGAUUCAUUGGGCGUAAAGAGCUCGUAGGCGGCUCGGUAAGUCAGAUGUGAAAUCCCUAGGCCCAACCUAGGGUCGCCAUCUGAUACUGCUGUGGCUAGAGCCCGGUAGGGGUCCAUGGAAUUCCUGGUGUAGCGGUGAAAUGCGCAGAUAUCAGGAGGAACACCGGUGGCGAAGGCGGUGGACUGGGCCGGUUGCUGACGCUGAGGAGCGAAAGCGUGGGGAGCGAACAGGAUUAGAUACCCUGGUAGUCCACGCCGUAAACGUUGGGCACUAGGGUGUGGGACCUGGUCAACGGGUCCUGUGCCGUAGCUAACGCAUUAAGUGCCCCGCCUGGGGAGUACGGCCGCAAGGCUAAAACUCAAAGGAAUUGACGGGGGGCCCGCACAAGCGGCGGAGCAUGUGGCUUAAUUCGAGGCAACGCGAAGAACCUUACCUGGGUUGAACUACGCAGGAAAAGCCGUAGAGAUACGGUGUCCGAAAGGGCCUGUGAUAGGUGGUGCAUGGCUGUCGUCAGCUCGUGUCGUGAGAUGUUGGGUUAAGUCCCGCAACGAGCGCAACCCUUGUCCUGUGUUGCCAGCGGGUAAUGCCGGGGACUCGCAGGAGACUGCCGGGGUCAACUCGGAGGAAGGUGGGGAUGAAGUCAAGUCAUCAUGCCCCUUACGUCCAGGGCUGCACACAUGCUACAAUGGCCGGUACAAAGGGCUGCUAAUCCGCGAGGAGGAGCGAAUCCCAAAAAGCCGGUCUCAGUUCGGAUCGCAGUCUGCAACUCGACUGCGUGAAGUCGGAGUCGCUAGUAAUCCCGGAUCAGCAACGCCGGGGUGAAUACGUUCCCGGGCCUUGUACACACCGCCCGUCACACCACGAAAGUCGGCAACACCCGAAGCCGGUGGCCCAACCAUUUUGGAGGGAGCCGUCGAAGGUGGGGUCGGUGAUUGGGGUGAAGUCGUAACAAGGUAGCCGUA